GCACCACUGAGGAGUCCCAUCACAGAACGAAACGGCCGUCCGGUGC
rnacentral:hammerhead_ribozyme from 1 species